AUCAAAAACAUAGCUUGAUGCUGUCUAUAUUAAGUUAGUUCUGCUCAGUGAUUUUUUUUAACAGCCGCAGUACACUGACUGUGCUAAGGUAGCAUAAUAAUUUGGCUUAUAAUUGAAGUCUGGUAUGAAUGGAAUUGGACGGGUGGCAACUGUCUCUUUUAGUUUUAUUAAGAAUUUGGUUAAUGGGGUGCAAACUCCCCCUAUUGAAAAAGAAAGACGAGAAGACCCUUAGAAUUAUUACUAAAGUGUCCUACACACUCAGUGUUUGUUGGGGCGACAGAUUAGCAAACUUAACCUAAUUAUUUUUUAUUAUACAAAAAAAAUAUCGUUAAAUUGAUUAAUUACCUAAGGGAUAACAGCAUAAUCUUUGUUUGGUUUGUGACCUCGAUGUUGGACUAGGGAUCCUUAAGGCCAGUAGCCUUAAGGGAUAGUUCUGUUCGAACUCUACCCCCUACAUGAUCUGAGU
rnacentral:rRNA from 1 species